UAUCACUCAAAAUAGCUUGAGUGCGCAAUGAAGCUGUUAUAUUCGGUAAAAUGAAUGAUUAGCGGAAUUGUGGGACGAAACGUCUUCAACCUAUUGUCGAACUUUCAAUGAGUAUGACGUCUCGCUUACUUGAAUACCACGUAGUUAUCGAACUUGUGCUUCAAGUAAUCCAUUUUUGGUUAGCAAAACUGACGCUGUGAAUAA
rnacentral:ncRNA from 1 species